rnacentral:rRNA from 1 species
AUUGAACGCUGGCGGCAUGCCUUACACAUGCAAGUCGAACGGCAGCGCGGACUUCGGUCUGGCGGCGAGUGGCGAACGGGUGAGUAAUACAUCGGAACGUACCCUGUUGUGGGGGAUAACUAGUCGAAAGAUUAGCUAAUACCGCAUACGACCUGAGGGUGAAAGUGGGGGACCGGAAACGGCCUCAUGCAGCAGGAGCGGCCGAUGUCUGAUUAGCUAGUUGGUGGGUAAAGGCCCACCAAGGCGACGAUCAGUAGCUGGUCUGAGAGGACGAUCAGCCACACUGGGACUGAGACACGGCCCAGACUCCUACGGGAGGCAGCAGUGGGGAAUUUUGGACAAUGGGGGCAACCCUGAUCCAGCAAUGCCGCGUGUGUGAAGAAGGCCUUCGGGUUGUAAAGCACUUUUGUCCGGAAAGAAAUCGCGCUGGUUAAUACCUGGCGUGGAUGACGGUACCGGAAGAAUAAGCACCGGCUAACUACGUG